AUACUUACCUUAUUGGGCUAUCGGCGAUCAUGAAGGCCGUUUAGUUGCUGGAAACCUCUGCAUUGCACAGCGCGGAGGAAGUCUGGUAUGAGUCUCCUUCGGGGGCCUCACCGGUGCAAUUUUUGCUUUCGAAAACACCCUUUCAUCAGUUUUCA
rnacentral:snRNA from 16 species